AAUUGCUUCGCCGAGCGCAGCUGGAUACAACCGCAGAGGUCCAACCCUGAACAGUUGGGGCAAAAAUGGACACAAUAUUCGCACUUGAUACAGGUUUGAAUUUGGAUUGUAAUUAAAUAUUUGACACAUAAUAGGUUUCUGCCACAGAAUAACUGUAGUCAAAGAACUGAAAAAAAAAAUGGUUAUAUGAUUUGAAUUUAUAUUCAAUUUUUUGCUUUUGUGCAAUACACUAUGCUGUUGCAAAUUGACCCCCUC